rnacentral:lncRNA from 1 species
UUUUUUUUUUUUUUUUUUUUGGUCAAUGGACAUUACGAAAUUGGCCACUAUAAAGUAUAAAGAGCCAACUAGAUAAUAUGUUGGUAGAAUCGAAUUAACCUUGCAUUAGAAAGAUUCUUCACUAUAGAUAUGGAUGAUUAAGACUUAAACCGACAAAGAUAUGUACCAAUCGGAUUAGAGAUGGCCUAUUCAUUCUCCACGUUAGGAUGCAACUCGUAGAAAUGAACUUGGUAGCCUAGCCCACUAGGGAUUGCUUCAGCUUUUUUUCUCAUCGGAGGGAAGUUUUAGUGGGAUUCCAAUUUUGUUUUCUUUUUUUUUUCAUAUACCGGUUCUUUUUGGAUAAUACUGCAGCAAUUUUUAGGAUAUGACGUAGUGUAGUACGUAGCAUAAAAAGGCAGACGGAAAGAUUUAAAAAAUCAUUAAAAAAAUGCUACUAUGAUGCGACAAAUAAUUUUUUUAUCAAAUAAUACACCAUCCAAAAAAAAAUAAUAAUAAAUUUUUCUUCAUCUGAUCUGCAUCCAAGGGUUUUUGUUUUUCCUCAUUUUUUGGGCUAGUGGAUUAGGCAAAAGGAAAUAUGUAUAAAGUCUAUCAAUAACAAUUGAUAGCAAUAAGUUUGGCUGGAGUAAUGGCAUAGUGCAGCAUGCUUAUAACAAAGAAUGGAAAACUAAGCCUGAAUUUAGGGUUUAACCCCAGCUAUAUAUGGCGCUUUUCAAGUAGGCAUGUGAGGGAAGCUGGGACCGAGUGAAAAAUCAAAAAAAUGAUGAUGCUAUCAAGUCUCAUGAUCCAUAUAGUUCCAUACAGCCAAAGCUAGCAAGGAACAUCCCAUUAAUGACCUUGCUCGUGGCCUCUCAAACAUGUUGCCCCCUUGCAUGUGUGACCUUUCACUGGUGAGAGUCACAUCACAUCUCAUCUCUGGGAAAACUCUCAAUAAUCUCUAAGUUUUUUUCCUCCCAAUUUUCUCAGCCUACUACAUCCACUGCCCACUUAAAGUUAAGUUAGAUAUCUGAAUGGGACGGCCUGCCCGUGAGAAGUAUCGCUCAGGUUAGUUAGUAGGAAAGUGUCACCGCCUUUUCCAUAUUAAGUGCUCGUCAACCUGCACCUCUAUCAGGCUUUCGUCUUUGUUUGGUUUUAUUAGUUUGAAUAAUUCCCCCGUAUUUCUUUGGCAUGUUUUCAUUCUCAGCACAUCAACUUUACGUACGAUAGUAAGAAAUUUAUGAAUAAUCUCGUGAACUGUUAUUAGAGUUGGAGCAACUUAUGGUCUUGAAUGUGUUGCUAUCUUGCUUUGCAGUACUAGUAGUAAGUUUCUGUCUUUAUGCUGGCCUGGGAGGUAUUUCAAAGUUAUUUUGCUACUUCCUCUUUGUUAGAUAGAUAUAACUAUAAGCAGUUGUAACAUCAUGCUUCCAACUUUUGACGCGUACUAAAGCAAAGAAAAAAGAUUUUUGAGCCAUGAAGAAACCCGCAUUCCUCCUAUCUUCUUCCACGUUCAUCUGCAGUUCCAGGCCUUCACGCUUGUACAAUUUGAACCCAGUCAGCCCAUGUGCUUCAUUUCGCAUAUCUUCUCAAUUAGGCUAUUAAGUGCUAGUCACUUUUUCGAGAAACAAAAUAAUGCUCAUGCUUUAGAUAGAUAGAUAGAUAGCCAGUUGUUAGCCACCAAUUCCAUCCAGGAAAAAGACCAAAAGACAAUUAAUUUGUUCGACAACCAUAAAUUACUACUACUGUUGUCGAAAGUGCAUACUACAGCUUGUUAGAUUAUGGAUUUUCUAACCUUUUUUUUUUUUUUUUGAAAAAAAAAGAGAGAGAGAUGGAUUUUCUAACUACUACUCAUUAACUUUCUUUUAAUUUGCUGGUAGAAAAGAAUACAAAUUGUACAUGUGAAAGAACAGUUGCUGGCACUUGCAUCAGACAACGAGUUUCAAGAUCUUGACGCGAAGCCAUGUUCUUAAUAUCCAAGUUGAAAGGCAUAGAAUCUUACUAGGGACCAGAACAAGUUAAUAAGCAAAUGGUCCUCGUCUCUGUUUUCUCAUUUUAGAACCACGUCCACUUGAUUGAUCCAUCCACCAACUUACUUACGAUCACAAUUGAGGAUCGAUCCAUAUUUUAGAACACCGGCCGGCCUUUCCAAUACUUGAAUGUUGCUGUGUAGUAUGGGGUAAAUUAGUAGUAUAACUUUGAUAUAAAUAAAUGUCAGUUUGUCAACUCAUCAUACGAUUAAAUUGAAGAAAAAAAUCACAAUGAUUAUACUAAAGUUGUACGAGUUUACGUUAAAAGUGGUAAAAAUUACAUGAAGAACAACUGAACAAAAAUCAACCAACAGGACAAGCCUCUGAUUCUGGCAUGAUGGCUGGGCAAUUCGAGAGAGAAAUUUGAUUAUGUAGAGGAAAGUUUCAGUUUCACUGCACAGGCGAUUAACAUUCUUUAGCCAAAUGAUUAGUUCUUCAUCCGUGCAGUUAUGGCAGACAAGGAAAUUGUGCGCUUUUUGGAAGAUGAUCAUGAUAUCUUUGUCAAAAGUAGAAGUGAUCAUUUUUAAAUUUAACUGGUUUAGGCAAAUAUUAAGCCCAUGACAUCUCUUUACGGUGCUCACCCCUCUACAGAAUAAGUUGAAGAUUCCUAACUUUUUCUUUCUAUAGAAAUAUAUAUAUAUAUAUAUAUAUAUAUAUAUAUAUAUAUAUAUAUGGAUUUUCUAUAUCGAAAGCUCAUGACCUCCUCUAAACUAUUCGACAGCAUAAAGGGGCCCUAACCCUCUUCGAAAUUUGUUCAAUUUUUAUGGGUAGAUAGCGUAUUAGAAAUAUUCAGUACUAUUUCUUCCGUCUUCCUUAUUUUUGAUACAAGAAAAAAGAGCCUAGAAAAUGUUCUCCCAACAAAUAUAUUUACAGAAGAUCUUGCUAGCAAGAAGGGGUUUAUUAAUUAGUCUCGUAAACCCCAGUCUUGAUAUCUUUUUACCUCUUGGCUGGAAAUGCAAGAGAUGCGUUCCAACACAGAGCGAUAAAAUUCACUUAAUAAGGAUGUUUUCUCCCCACUCUUGUGGUGGAGACACAAUAUUCUUGCAAUUCCCCCUUUUAAUACACGACAAUGACCUAAAUUAUAUAUCCCUCCAAAAGCGAAAAAUCACAAUUAUGGAUUUUAUUCUUUCUUGCAAGAUGAAAAAAAAGAAGACAAUAAACCAGAAUGAGUUUGUACUUCAAUGGUGCUGCUGACAGUGACUUGUUUACUCCAUAAAUAUGCUUUGAAACUGGAAAAUGUGGUUUUAGUAGUUACAACAUCAACAUGCAACACCUACUAUAAAUCUUUUUUUGUAUCUGGAAGAAGAUGCACGCAAUAUAUAUAUAUAUAUAUAUAUCUUUAAAUUCUUGUCAUAAGGGGUUGAGAAAAAUCUAGUAGGUGGUGCAAUGCUUAUUACAAAAAGAGUAAGAAAGAGAAAAAAAGAAAAAGAUUGUCAACGCUGUGUUUUACCCUAGUACAAAUUACUUGAUUCCUGAGAAGCUUCUAAAAGAGGAGAGACAGAGGAUAAAAGUUUGCAUGCAAAGGGCCAUUGUGCUUGAGAGGACGAUGCACGUAAUGCUUUUUUUUUUUUCACAGAAGAACCAAUCCUAUUGUGUAAUGUAAUGAUGCUCUAGCCUCUUAUUAAGUGCGAUUAAUGUUCAGAGUAAUCGGAUGGAUUCCUUCAGCUGCUUUUUGUGGUAAAGUUAAAAGUAAAACUAACUUCAAAAGCAAGAAUCAACUGCUACUUUUAUGAGAAAACUCCUCCGCCAUCCUGCAAUGCAAAAUUGUGAUCACUAAUCAGUCGACGCCACAUUGAAAAGGGUUCUAAUGAAUCACAUCACCUAUCAAAAUGGCCCUUAUUGGAAUAUCAUUUGGAUCGUGAGUCACCUUUGCCUCCUAUUCAUGAUGAACCAAUCGUGACCAUUCUUUUUCUUCUUCGUUUCUUGUUUUCCUUGGAAGCCCUUUUUACCAUACGGUCCAUAGCGAUAGCGUUACUAAAAUCUUGACCUUCUAAAAGCUCUCUCCACUAAAUCUGGUAGCUUGUAGGGUUGUUGCCUUUGUUGGAAGUGCUUUUUCCUUUUCCUUUUCUUUUCUUUUUUGGCGUAAUAAAGUAUUAUAAUCGAAUUGUCGUCAAUUAAUUCUAUAAUAUUGCAAAAGCAUUCAACCGUUCAUGUGGUAGGUCAGCUAAGUAAGGUAGUUAAAGACAGUCGAAUCUAUUCAGGGGAUACAGCCUGUAACUUUAUGAGGCAAAACUUCCACUGAUCACGGAGGAAUUCUUCUGAGUACCACACGCCUCUCCACAAUCUUUUGCUAUUAACUUCAAAGCAUUUCCUCUCAACAAUGAAUUUUAAGUUUCAUAGCCUAAAUCAUUGUGUUGCCUUUAGCCAAUUUAUGCCUCUUCUUUGCAGUUGCUGCUUGUUGGGGCUUCCAGUUACACAAUCGCUCUUGAAGGUUGUGGGAAUAUUUUUUUUUUCCCUUUUUUGAGUUAAAUAUCUUUCGCAAUUAUGCUCUGAACUGGUACCAUUCGAAAUCAAUAAUGCUUUUCUGAUUGGAUUGGAUUCUUCAUUCAUCCGUCCGUUGAUUUCUUUUCAUUCUUUUCCUAAACAAACAGUAGUAUUCAUCAGUAGUCAACUUAUUGUGAUCCAACUAAGAAGAUUUGCUGUUUGGGUUAAAGUCAAAAUAAGAUAUGAUUAAGAAUAUGAUUAUGAGUUUGAGUGCAAUGGGUGGGUACAAUGACUUCAUCAUUUGUGAUCGUAUACUUAAUUGGUGAACAAUUAAGUGGUUCAUUGACCUCAGUUGUAUAUCACCAACUGCCCAUGCGUGCAGCCAUCCCCAUUUAUUGGAUAUUGGUCGAUAUACAAGUAUGCAAAUGCAACCACAGAAAUAGGAUUCCCAAAAUUAUAUAUAUAUAUAUAUAUAUAUAAAAAGAGAGAGAAAAAUAUAUAUAUACUAUAGCUGGGAGGUCAGAGUUGACUUGAUCAAAACUUUAAGAACGUAAGAGAAUACCAUUCCAUGCCCAUUGAGGUACCAAAAUAUAGUACUAUUGGAGGAAUCUCCAUCCAAAAUUACCAAAAAUUUCAAAAGAUUUUUCCAGAUCGUUAACAACUUUGAGGACCAUAUCCUCUUGGUUCUUGGCCCCAGUGAUGGCAGAAUCAUUCCUAAAAUUUGACAUUGCCAACGGUGAAAAUAGUAUAUGUGCUCCAUGAUUUCGUAACAAAAACGAUCAUUCACUGAAAAAAAGAACGUAUUCGAUCGAUAAGGAAUAAGUAGCUAGGUACACCAGAAUUGUUCUCUAAAAUUACAUUCUAUGUUCUUCCUUUGCUAGAAAGAGACAUUCCAUCGAGUACUUAAUGCAUGAGAUAUUAAUAGACAUAUUGGUUUUACCCAAUAAUCCUUUCUUAAUUUAAAAAGAUCUGUCUAGCGAGCGCUCCAAACUGGGUACUCAUUAAAGAUUUUAUUCAGGUGUUAAAUUUUUAAAAAGCAUACAUAAUUAAAAAAAAGUGUAUAAAAAUAAGGGAUGCCCGUGAUUAUUAUUACUGUUACGUUCGCAUGAUAAGUUAGACGUGAUUUAAGCGUGCUAAUGAUGCAGCCAAUUUUCAUGGUUAGAAAAUGCCAAUUUAAAAGGACAACAACAGAGAAAAAGUUUAGUCCAACAGCCUUAACUUGAAACAUGAAGACGCAGAACAGGGACAAGCAUAUCAGCAUUUGGAUUGCGUACGGGCUAGAAUCGUGGAAAUUGACGGUCCAAGUAUGAUCUGAACGGAACCUCCCAUGUUCAGACAACAGCGCCUGAGAAAGCUUGUCACGGGGAAUUACUAUUGGGAUGAAUCACAAACCAGCCAUGGAAAUGCACAGACAAUCCUUUGAUGGGAAACUGUAAAUUUAGACUAUCGAUCUUCUUUGAAGAUGCCUCUAAUCAUCCUGAAAUUAAUUGGAUGCAUUUCAUUUUUGGCUUCCGUUUGUAUUGAUAUUGACAUCUCCAAUAUUCAACUCAAUUUGCCUUUUUUUUUUAGAGAAAAAAAAAAGAUUUUCUGGAUCCAUAUCUUAUCCCCCAAAAUCCCCAGAGGGAUAAUUCGUUAAUUUGAACGAAUCUGGGAAUAACAAAAUAAAAUGCGAGCAGAGGAAAAAGCCAAAUUGGGAUUUGAACAUGGAAGAAAGAGCCAAAAGAUACAACAUGGGGAACCAGAAUACUGCAUGUGCAUCUGCUUUCGUUGGAGCCGUAAAUAACCUUGCAAUCGUUUUCAAAGUACAAAUUGCAUUCGCCGGAGAUUAAAUACCAUUUCUUUUUUAUCUUAAGAUCUUUUCGUGCGAACAAGACGUAGAGUCUAAAAUUACUCCACGUAGUUAAUCCCAAAAAAAAAAAAAAAACUUACUCCAUAUUCAGUAUUUCAAUGCAAUUUCACAUUUAUUUGCUGGGUAAGAUUCCAAUGUCACGUCUUGAUGUUACAACUUAAACCAAGAAAAAAUAUCCAUGCCAUGCAAAAUUUGCGUACAAACUUAUUGAACAGUAAAGAAUCACUUAUGGUGUGCACCGUAUUCCUAUUCCUUUUAUAGGGACCGCGGAUAUAUAUAUCUUCAGUAUUUGCAUUUCAUUUUCAUCAACAUCUCCUACAUAUCAAUUUUUUUCCACCUAUAUUUUCAAAUGAUUAAACCCCAAAAUAAAGUAGUACUCGAAGUUAAUUUUCACUAAAAUUACCUGGACUUGCGAUAAGAAAUGUUCGGUGGACAGAGUACUUAAAUUUAGAGAACAAAAUCCAAAUCCAGCACCAUUUUCUCUAUAAGCCUGCAAAACCAGUAGGAAAUGUGUAUAUAUAUAUAUAUAUAUAUAUAUAUAUAUAUAUAUAUAUAUAUAUAUAUAUAUAUAUAUAUAAUUUAUAGAAUGUAGUGAACCGGUUAUACGCCAAUUAAAGGUGUAAACGAGUCUAAUUAAAUCGAAUGCCGUGCUAUUCAAGUUUGUUUGAUUAUUUUAACGAAUUUGAAAUUUUCUUCAGGUAUGAUUUGUUUAUUUAUCAAAUUGAACUCGAGCGACCUUUUUUAUCGAGUUUAAAUAUUACGAUCUAACAUAAAAUGUUGCUUAAUUUUGAUUUGACUAAACCUAUUAAUUGGGUCAUCUGAGGUGAAAUUUAACAAGUCCAAACUCGGCUAAUAUAAUUAGUACCACUUUCCAAAUUCAAAUUAUGAGUUUCGAAUUAAUAAAUGUGAAACUCAUACUCAGUUCACAAAAUAUUCGAGUUGUGAGUCUAUUUCGAGUUUAACAUAAAUUCACUUAUUGUUCCUUAAUUUCUUUAAUAUAAUUACUAUAACUAGUAAGUUCUAGAGCUAAUUUAACAUCCACAGGUUGCAACAUUAAAACUAUACAUAAUUUAAAAAUAGUUUGUUAAAAAGUAUAUAAACCAAGAAUUUUUCAAAAAUAAUGUAUCAAAUUAGUUCAAAGUACAUGGAAAAUAGUAAUAAAGCAUAAUCAACAAUCAAAACAUCUUCAAAAGUCAUUAAUUUGCUUGUACUAAGAUUUGUCUUUUUGAAUAUUUUGACAUAAUUUUGUAUAUUUAAUAUUUCUUAUAUGUAUUAAUAUAUUUUGAUACAUAACUCAUAAGUAUAAAGUAUUAGCAUUAGUAUUAUAUAUACAUAGGCAUAUAUUAUGCAUAGUUAUAUAUAUAUAUACACACAUUCGGAUUAAAGGGUUGGAUCUAAUAAGGCGCAAACUCGGCUCAUAUUUAAUUAAGACUUAAUAUUUAGGUCCAAAUUCAACGCACACUCAAUGAAAGAUUAGGUUUAUCAAGUUUUUUCUCAAGUCGAGCGAAUCUGAGUUUGAGCUGGCCCAACUUCAUUGACUAGACAAUUCUUGAUUUGACCAGCUCACAAACAAAACUCGAACGAGUUCUUCUUAUCAAUCCAAACUCCACUCAGACUAUCAAGUAAUUUGGUUCAUCUUUUAAUCCUAAUAUCAAUCACAAAUUAACAAAAUACCAUGUGCAAUAACUCUUAAUCUAGUAUAUGUUUUCAGUAAUCAGUUGAAAAUUAUAGAUACUAGUAUGAAUUAUGAUUUUGAAUCCCUGCACUCCAAUAAUGAAGUAGCCACGAAAGAAUGAAACUAAACUAAGCCCUCCCCACUUGCUCUUAGCCCGGCCUUUAACUAACACUAAGAGUAACCAAAAUAGGGGGCAUGGGAAUUUGAGAGGUCACAGUUGAGAAGAGUGAAGGUCUGGUGCUCUGCAGACUUUUGUGCAUUUGGAUAUUAAAUGAGAGGAAUUAUUUUUCUCAAUAUGUUUUAAAUCAUGCAGGUACUUUUCAUUAAUUUCUCUUUAUCACAGCAGAUAUCGUAUCCGAUUCGUUGAUCCUGUAUUCUACCGGCCGUAAUAAAUCGGCUGAACCAUAAAGCAAAUUGAAAUUAAUGGAGUGGAUGGUGUUGCCCGAGCUUAUUUAUGCUGCAUUUACUAGAAAAUCUUUUUGUGUCUCUCUUUUAUUGGAAAAAUAGCCACUUUUUGGGAUACUUUUUUUUUUUCUCCGUCGAUAGAGUGAUGGUAUCUCCAAUAUCCAGAAUUGCUUUACAUGUGUCAAGCAGCUGUAGCAUUCAAUUCAAUUUGUUUUUUUCUUUUGCUUUAUUCUUUUUUUUUUUUUGGGUUGUUCUCAAUCCUUGUUCUCUCAAUUUCACAAAAGAUUCUUCUAAACUACUGAAUUGCUUAGCAUAAUAACACGUAGGCGUAAUCGAGUACAGUCGAGAUUAUUACCCUGUUAGUAAAAUGCGAUGAAGAAUAAGAAAGUUAGAUAAAUAAAUUGUUAAACUAGGCCUCAGUCAAUAGUAAAACAAAAUUAAUUUCGAAGGGCCUAAAAUCAUUUGUUAGUUCUUGUCGCCUGCCAUGUUACAUUUUCAUUGUUAUCCACGAGAAAGAAAGGGCAAACUAAAAUCUCCUUAAUUGAAGUUCAGUUAAAAAAUUAAUUACUCCAAUUUUUAAUUAGGGUUAAGAUAAACAAAUACAGCCGGGGCCAAAAAAGAAAAAAGAAAAAAGAAAAAAGCAAGGAAGAAAUCAUAUCAUAAAAGAACAAAAGAGAGAAAAGGGGGGCUGGGUCUCUGCGGCAAAUGGUCGUUGCUCUGAGUGUAGUCAGCUUGCAUGUGCUGAGAAUGGAAUAUGUUUUUUGAAUUCUCAAAAUUCAAAAAGAGGAAAAUCCACCCAAGGCCCCACUUGCUUUUGUCAAAUUUCCCAUCCACAAAGCACCAAAACCACACGCUUUCUAACAAUAAAAACCACCCCCUCACUCCUACCCUUUUUGAAAUUGCCUUUAUUGUACCAUCAAACCUUCAUUAUAUGUGGCUUGAUAUUUAAAUGGUUUAAAAUUUGUACGCGUGUGUAAUGCAUUUAUUUGAUUUAAUUGAAGUUCAAUUUUUGCCAGUCCUCAAUUGACCUAGUUGAAUUCUCCUCUUAAAAUAAAUUAAAAUAAAAGUACGAAUAAAUAUAGAAUAGACUAAUGACGAUUGUUUAAAAAACAAAAAAUAGUAGUAUACAAUUUCUUUAUCUUUCUCUUCCAUUUUUUUUUUGCGGGAGGUUAUGUACCUAAACAGUUGCUGGUCCCCAGCCCCAAAAAAAAAGAAAAAAGUGUCAGUUAGUUGUUACCUUACCGUAGCUUACAGAACCAGCAGCCCAUCUCUAAACUCCUAUUUAAACCCCUCUCCAACACCCAUUUUCUUCCCACCACCGUCUCCAUUCUCUUCUUCACAAACUCUCUCCGCUUCCUUCUUUCUCUCUGCUCAAUUGCCAAGUAUGUAUCUUUCUGCUACAUUCUCGUUUUUUAAUAUAAUUCUCGCAAUGUUCAGAUCAGAUGAGCUGAGAAAUAAUAUGCUACAUUUGCAAUUGUUGUAAUUUUUUUGGCUUUGGCAAGCAAAAUGUUAAAUUCUAAUAGCUAAAUUUUGUUUUUUGAUCUGCAGAAUCAAAAUGGCUGCUACUGGGUUUUUGUUGGUUGGACUUCUUGCAAUGGUCAGCAGUGUUCACGGAUACGGAGGGUGGAUUAAUGCUCAUGCCACCUUUUAUGGAGGGGGCGAUGCUUCUGGAACAAUGGGUAUGCACCGGUUUAGAAACUUGCCUUCUUCUGGCCUGCAUGUUAAGAGGAUUUCCACAGAUCUUGAUAAUUUUUUUCCGGUUCUUGUGCACACAGGUGGGGCUUGUGGCUAUGGAAACUUGUAUAGCCAGGGGUAUGGUACAAACACUGCAGCACUGAGUACAGCUCUGUUCAACAAUGGGUUGAGCUGUGGAUCUUGCUUUGAGAUUAGAUGUGUGAAUUCUAAAUAUUGCUUGCCCGGUGCCAUUCUGGUCACAGCCACCAAUUUCUGUCCUCCAAACAAUGCCCUGCCUAACAAUGCAGGGGGAUGGUGCAACCCUCCCCUGCAGCACUUUGACCUCUCCCAGCCCGUUUUCCAGCGCAUGGCUCAAUACAGAGCUGGAAUUGUCCCUGUUGCUUAUAGAAGGUAUGCUAAGCAAAAUUCUUCAAAUUUAUGAAUUUUUUCCAUUGAAAAAACUUUUUGACCGAGGAGAAUUUUGUAACUUGGCUACCACAUGGGCCUCAUCCAUGCUACUCACUCACUUGACUGACUGGUAAAAAGUUGUAGUAAAACGGCAAACCUGAAAGGUUUUGGACUUAAAUCUAGUGGUUACGUUGUUUAGAAAUGGAUGGUAGGACCAUACGGUAAUAAAUUCUUGCUUCUAUUUUCUUGUGAUGUUCCCAUCACUAUAAUGAAUGACCACGAGGACUUGUACAGUUUGUAGUAUUUAAGCAUUCUUUCCUAUGACAGUCACAUGGGCUGUGGUAAAACCUUCUACUAAUGGAGAAAUUGACAGUAGUAGACUAGUAUUUGUGAUAUGAUAUGAACCCUGUUGACGAAACGGAACGAAAUUCGCAUUAACAAGCCCCGGAUCGAUGGUGAUCGACACGAAACUUGAUUCUCGGACUUGAAUGUGAAUCCGGAUCUUCUUGUUCUCAUCAAUUUGAUUCUUCACUUCUUUAAUGGUAUUUCUCUCCUGCCUUCUUUUAAUGGGUUUUUUUUUUUGUUUUUUUAUGUGUAGGGUGCCCUGCAGGAGAAGGGGAGGCAUAAGGUUCACAAUAAACGGUCAUUCCUACUUCAACUUGGUGUUGGUCACCAAUGUUGGUGGUGCUGGUGACGUCCAUUCGGUGGCAAUCAAAGGGUCCAGAACUGGCUGGCAGCAAAUGUCAAGAAACUGGGGUCAAAACUGGCAGAGCAACUCCUAUCUUAACGGGCAGAGCCUCUCAUUUAAGGUCACCACAAGUGAUGGCCGCAGCGUAGUGUCCUACAACGCUGCCCCUGCUGGUUGGUCCUUUGGGCAGACUUACACCGGUGCCCAAUUCCGCUGAAGCUCUCCCGCUCCUGCUUCAUUUAAUACUCCUCUUUUUUUUUUUUUUUUAGCUAUUACUAUGAUUUGGUAGGGGGGCUUGAUAUACUUUAUGUGGUCACUGGUCACUAGUAUUAGUAUUGUGACUAUUUUUCUUUUCAAUUUUUCAUUUCACUAGGCAAUAGGGAUCCGUCUCAAGUUGCCUUGACGACUUAUUAGUAUAGUAUAAUUGAGGGAAGAUAAGUAGUACUCCACUAUAUUUUAGGCAGGGUAUUGGCCCUACAGGGGGGAAAUGAGGAGGGCAUAUUUUAAGAUUGUCCCUCUCCCAUUUUGUGGGGUGUCCGUUUUGGAGACCUUAAAACUUCUUGGGGUCUUUAGUUUUUUUUUUUUUUCCUUCGGUCCGUUAUGAGGCAGAAGAAGAAGAUGAUUGGGCAGAGGUGGACUAUAACCACCCGCCUUUAGUAUGUGCUUUUUUUUUUUUUUUUUGGGGGGGGUUAUUAUAUCUUUGUCUAGUUGGGAUUUGAUCUUCUUCUUCAGCAUCCAGCCGGAGUUGUACCAUGUGGUGGUUAAUUUCUAUGGAAGUGCAAUUGUAAAUCCGAUUUGAAUAUCAAUGAAGGAGUGUUUUAAUUUCUACCGACAACUUCUUUCGUACCAUCCCAAAGUGAUGGAUUGAUUUAGGUUCAUUCUUUUGAUGAAAUUAGUCCCAUCUCACAUGGUUUAGACUCCGAAAAAAAAAAACACAAAACGUUUGGAAGACAAGAACCAUCAUGUGUAAUGCUAAAUUCGCCGACUAGUAAAUUGUGUACUAAACCAGUGACCAGACCAUGGCUUUUGAUGCAGAAUCAAUUCCUCCUACAACAUGAUCUGUCUCAAGUGCUGAUGAUAUUUUUAGUUUUUAUUCUCGACUAGUAGUGCUGAACAGUUCUGUUCUUUAAUUGUCUCAGCAAAAUUCAAUUUGACGAAAAUAACUUGUCGAUUAUAAUCCUUUCUUCACAUGACUGUACAAUUUGCGGCAGCAUUUCACUUCGAUACAUCGUUGUCUCGACCUCUGAUACUUGUCCGUUUCAAUGAACUACAAGAAUAAAAAAGAUUUACUGCCUGCCCUAAACCAAUUUUACCGUGGAGAAUGUCUGCAACCAUUUGCCCAAAGGAAAAUUAAUAAUAAUAAUGAGAUAAUAUACUCCAUAAAAUUUGCUCAGAAUCAAACUUUUUUCUUAGUUAAUGUUGACCGGUUUCGGAAGUGGACUUCACUCUUGUUUUCUUAUAAAUGGAAAUCGCCAAAGAAAAAGAAUCAAAAAAUUGAUUGGUACUAUGUAAGUUUGCUUUCAAUUUUUUACUAUCAUUUAGAAUCCAAAAGCAUCCCCAACUCCACAAAACUUGGAAAUGGAAUUGCAGAAAAAGUUUAGUAGACAAAGAUCCUCGUGGUCACGCUGCAAGAUUCUCUGCCUUCCCACCCAAACUCAAAUCGGGGGUUGAGGGAUUUUUGGUGGUUGGGCACUUGGGCGGACCAGUGAUGAAAUUCUAGUCUUUUGACCAUACUACAAGACUAGAAUUUAGUUACAGUGAUGAAAUUAAGACUAAUAGGCAACACUAAUGCAAGACUACAGCUAAUUGAUACUUGCACAUAAUAGGAACUCAAAACUUGUGAUACUUGGGCCAUAAAUUAUAAAACCAACAAUAACUUUACUUUAAUUUAUAUAUUGUAGUUGUAAUUUCAAUUAAUGAAAGGGAAGACACAUUAUAUCUUUUUUUUUCUAUAUGUUUUUCUAAUAGGGAAUGGUUGGAAUUUAAAAAGUAGAAAGGGCAUCCGAAAAUUAGAACUUAAAACCUCCACUUUCCGUGAGACAAAUUAUCUCUAGCUAUUCUCUUAACGAAUCAUGUCGUGGUUGUCUUGACGUGACUCUUUGAUAGUAACAAUUAAAAACUCAUUUGGAUUGUAGUUUUUCAAAUAAUUUUUUAUUAAAAAAAUUAUUAUAACACUUUUUUGAUUGCGUCCAAUAUAUAACAAGUGUGUCAAAAGAAUCAUUGAAGAUUUCUAAGGACACUUCAGGUGAAAAUGAUUAGAAAAAAUUGAAAUUGUAAAAAGAAAAAAUUCAUCCUUCAAGUUCAACCUAGAGACCCACGUUAACCAAAAUUUCAAUCAUCUGGAAUCGUUUAAAGUACUAUACCUGUUUAAAUCAAAAGUCAUGUUCUAGUAGUUUCACGUUCACCCUGUGGGGUUUUCUAUCCCACGUCGGCUUGGGGGUUGGGGUGUUUGGAUAAAUAAGUCCCUCGCAGGACUUCAAAAGUUGCCGGCUUUUAAAGUUACUGUGGGGAUUAGGUUUAUUUGCAAAAACAUGCUUAUUUCUGUAAGAAAAUAUAAGAAAACAGAAAACUCAUUCUCAGGGAUUUGGGGGUAGUUACUUCUUAGCAGCAGGGCACCCUGUGGGGUUUUUUAUCCCACAUCGGCUUGGGGGGUUGGGGUGUUUGGGUAGAUAAGUCCCUCGCAGGACUUCAAAAGUUGCCGGCUUUUGAAGUUACUGUGGGGAUUAGGUUUAUUUGUAAAAAUAUGCUUUUUUUUUUUUUUUCGAAACGAUAGAUGUUCUAUAACUUAAUCUAGCCUAGUCUAAGGGGAAGGGGAGGGGGUUCGAUGUGAGUACAGACUCUAUCGAUGAAGGUCAAUUAAGACCGUCACAAAUUGUGAUAAAUUUGUGGGAGGCAGGGAUUGAACCCCUGACCUCCAGCAUCACCUUUAAUGGUGAUGACCACCGGACCAAAUGGCCAGUGAUAAAAAUAUGCUUACUUCUGUAAGAAAAUGUAAGAAAACAGUAGUUUCACGUUCACUUCCUUCGAAGUUUGAACGUCAAAGAUGGCUUUAAAUUGAAAUGAAUUUUGGGGAAAAGCAAAGGAUCCUCAAAGCUCAAAGAGUCCAAACUCCAAAGCUAAUAACAAACUCGGGUGGAGAAAACGGGCGGGAAAUGAGGUGUGGGUCUCGGACUCCGGCGGGAAAGCCCAUGUCCUAAGCCUGACAAUGACUAGUCAAACCUCAGACUUUUCGUCUCACUUUUCUGAUUUUCUCUACGAACAGUUUGAUCAGUCUGUCAUAUCAUCAUAUGUAAGAAAACUUUCUCCACAAUCUAGAGUCCCGUGACUAUAACAUGCUCUCUGCCUCGGACGCAACUCUUUUGCCACACAAGCAAAUUCUCCUUGCUCAAGGCUUCAUCUUCGAGCCCCCAAAUAAGCUAUAACCCACCAUGGCUUCUCGCUCUUGGUUAAAGCUAUGCCUGAUUGCCUUCUACUGGUGCGACUACUACUUGGUAGUUGGUACUAUGCGACUAUCUAAUUUUUAAUUCUCUAGUUAGUUAUUACCGGUGUCCAAACAAGGCGUCGUAAUUACUACAUUCGUCCCAUUUUCAUAGUUCUGAUUUUUUUCACAUAAUUUUUAAAAAAAAUUAAUUAACUUUGUUGGAAGAAUAAAUGUAACUUACUAUCUUCCUAAAAGUUUAAAGUUAGGUGAUACUCAAUAAUAAUUUACAUUAAAUAAGGGUAUUUUAGAGAAAUUUAAAAUUAACUAUAUUUUAGAAAGUGGAUUAUAAUUUUGGAUGGAUGAAAAGGGAAAUCAAGCAUAUCAAAGUGAGAUAGAGGGAUUAUAAUUCUUAAUUAAUUUUUAAUUUUUUUAACAACUAUUUUAUCUCACACAUGUUAUAUCAUAAAAAGUGUUAUAGUAAUUAUUUCAAAUAAUCUCCUAUUGAAACAUAUUUCGAAAUUUUCCUAAUUUUCUACACCGGCACAUGCUAGUGUUUUAACCCUUUUUCUUAGGUAUAAUUUCAGAAAACCUCUAUUGAGGUUUCUAAUAGUUUUCACUUAGCGCACUUUAACUUUAAAAAAUACCACUUACUUUCUCUACUUUUAACAUUUUGUAAUAUUAGCAACCUAUUUCAAAAAAAUAAAUAAAAAGUGAGUCUUUUUUUUAAAGACCAUUUCUAAAGUUGCUAAUGGUUUGGUACUUGAUUCAUAUCAAAACAUUUUUACACGGACUUGACUUGUUGCAUUCAGAUGCAAACUUUCACUGGGUUCUUAAAAACUGUGUUAUAAAAAUCACUACAAUAGCACAAAGCUUUUCAAAAGAUUAUGUGAAGAAGCUAUUUGCAAUAGUAUACUACAUUGAUACUUUUUAUCAUCAUCUGAUGUACUUAAGAUAAAAAUGUAGUUAAAAAUAUAAAAGAGUAAUUGAAAAACGUAUUUAUGAUGCAAGCAAAAUAUUACUAUUUAGAAAACAUUUUGGUAUCCAAAAAUUAUCAAUGAGAAAUUAAAGAGCCAAUUUUUGCAAAUUAUUGUCAACCUUCCACAAAUUAAGACUAAUUUUAACAGCUGUAUUAUGCAAUCAUAGACUUACAACCCACAAGGCCAGACAAUUUCUUUUUAAAUUCUAUACUGGGCCAUUCGGUGGCAAUCAAAGAGUCCAAAACAUACGUCAAGAGACUGGGCCGAAAAUUGGCAAAGCAACACCUAUCUUAAUGGCAAAAGCCACUCAUUUAAGGUCACUUCAAAGUGAUGGCCACGGUGUUCUACGAUGUUGCCGCUGCUGGCUGGUCCUGUGGGCAGACUUACACCGGUGCCCAAUUCCGGUGAAGCUAUCCUGCAUCAUUCAUGUGAGUACUAUUUUCCUAGUCGGACUGGGAGGGAAUGAGAAGGGGCAGGAAGGGGUAAAAGAAAAAUGGUCAUUAUCACUUUAUAUUUGAUUUCAUUAUUAAUUACUCCCUUAACGUUACAUCUCCCUUACUUUACUUUCAAGACUAAUGGUUAAAUUUAAUGAAAUUUAUUAAUUCAAUUGAGAAUACAUAUUUAACCCUUAAAAUUGUUAUCACAUUUCCCGCAUAUAUUAUAGCAUUAUUAUCAACUUACAUUCUAGAGUUAUUUUUUAUGCAAUUUAUUCCACCGUUAAACCAAUUUAGCAAGUUAAAGAAUUUUAGAAGAAAGUACCCUCCUCCUUGUACAAUAAAAAUAGUAAAAAAUUUAGAGUGACUUUUCUUCUUUUUAGUUUUUCUUUUUAGAAUCAAGAAAGCAAAUUCAAAACAUUAAUCUCUUUCUAUUAAUAAUGAAAAAAAUAGAAAUAUAGAAGGGGGAGAGAGAGAGAGAGCUCAAUUCUUUUUUUUUUUUAAAAAAUAGUACAAAUAAAAAGAAUUCAAUUUUUUUUAUUUUAAAAUUACUUUACGUUUUUAUGUACCUUCAAAUUCCAAUCCUAAUCCCAACGAUGUUAAAGUAAUAUGAUAAUAUUAUAUUCAUACUUAUUUUCUUUCUUUGCAAAAUGUAAUUUUCUAUUUCCUUCUCUUCUAUCUCUUUUUCUUUUCCUAAUUUGGAAAAUUCUUUUAUUUUUAUGCUUUUGGAACACUUAAAGUGAAAAAAAGGAAGAAUAAUCAUUCCAAUUUUUUAUUUUUAAUUAUAUAUAUAAAAAAAGGUAAAUAGAUUAAAAUUUUUUUGAAUAUAUUAGUUAGGUUAACGGUGGGGUAAAAUACCUAGAAAAUAAUGUUAUGGUAUAAAUUGAUUGUAUCACUAUAAUUUAAAGGGAUAAAGUAGUGAUAAUAAUAAUAAUGUAAUAAUGCUAUAAAAUAAAAGGGUAUUUUUAUUCAAAAUUUGUUAACAUACUGAGUUGAAUUACCUAUGAGGUUAAAGUGAUAAAAGAUAGUAUUAGGAUAGUAAAUAGAUAACAGUAAUAUAGUUUAAAGAAGUAAAGUGAUAAUGACUCUAAAAAAUAAAAAAUAAAGGUGGGGAGGAGAGGCAAACUUGCAGCCAAUGGAACUUGCGAGGACCUAUUUGCCACGGGGCGCCCGUUGCAUCUUGGCAGGUUGAAGCCUAGCAUUUGCUAUGUCAUUUUACCUAGAGUUUUUAAUGAAUCAAACUAUUUGCAAAUGUGUUUGUGUUUAACUUGUUCGAAUUCGAAAAAAGUUUGAUCGUUUAAUAAAUGAAUCGACUUCAAACAUAAUAUUAUACUUGUUUAAUAAUCAAAUCAAUUAUAAACAUGUUCAUGAAUCAUUCGAAUAAUUCAUGAAUACAUAUAUAAUUAUGAAAAUAAAUAUAAAUACAUUUAAUAUUAUUAAAUAUAUAUUGUAAUUCACUAAAAAAAGUAUUUAUACAUACAUUAGCAUUAUUUAUUUUUUAAAAAUCAAUAAGUACAAUUAAACUUAUUCUAAAUAAUGUAUUAUUUAUUAAAAAUAUAAUUAGAUCAACUUCAAAAUCAAAUUUGAGCUCGAAUUUGGCUCAUUUAUGAGUUAGAAUCUGAACUCAAAUAUUUAUACAAAUAAACUCAAAUUCAAACAAUAUUUAUAAUUAGUUAAUAUUCGAAUCCAAUUACUCGUUGAAAGCUAUCCCUAUCGAUUCGGCUCACUAAAAGCUCUUGUUUUACCAUUUAAAAAAAAAAAAAAACUCUUGUUUCACCCGGCUCCUAUCCUUUGACUGCCAAUAGUUCAGUUCAGUGAUGAUACUCCGAAUGCAGCUGCUUCUUCCUCAGCCCCUAUCUCCCCACUACUCUUCCUCCUCCACCACCGGCUUAAACCCCAUUUCCACUCCCAAACCCCUCAUUUCCCGAAAAGCCCUCAACUCCCACCACACCCCCACCACCACAACAGUUGACUCCGGAUUAAAAUUCCGGGAGAAAAUCCUCUACCUCGAAUCCCUCAAAGUCAAUCCCACAAAAGUCCUCCAGAAAAAUCCAAAUCUCCGUUCUGCCCCUCUCUCCUCUCUCCAAUCCGUCGAGCACUGCCUUUCUUCCAUGGGGAUAGAGCAGUCUGCCCUAGGCCGCAUUCUUGACAUGUUCCCCCAGCUCCUCACAGCUGACCCCAGCAAUCAAAUUUACCCUGUUUUCGAGUUUCUGUUAAACGACGUCGAAAUCCCUUAUUCCGAUAUCCGUAAAUGUAUAAUCAGAUGCCCCAGAUUGUUAGUCAGUGGUGUCGAGAGUCAGUUAAAACCCGCGCUUGAAUUCUUGAUAAAAUUGGGUUUUGUUGGCGCCAAUAGAAUCACUUGCCAAACCACUGUUUUAUUGGUAUCCAAUGUAGAUCAUACCUUAACUCCCAAAAUUGAUUUCUUGAUGGGGUUGGGAUUUGAGUACAACGAGGUGGCGAAGAUGGUGAUCAGGUCACCUGCGCUGUUGACAUUUAGCAUAGAGAAUAAUUUUAUGCCGAAAUUGGAGUAUUUCUUGGAGGAAAUGAACGGGGAUUUGGAGGAGCUGAAGAGAUUCCCGCAGUAUUUUUCGUUUAAUUUAGAGGGGAAGAUAAAGAAAAGGCACCGGAUUUUGGUGGAACACGGGUUGUCAUUGCCGUUAUCAAAGAUGUUGACAGUGAGUGACGGGGAGUUCAAUGCCCGGUUGAUUGAAAUGCAGUUGGAAUUAGUAGAGGAAAGGCAGUUGUAGUAAGUUGGCUCUGAUUUUUCAGUUCUGUUUAGAUGUAAAUUUUGGUGAAGACAGCCCAAUGUCAAGUAUAUUUUUGUUCAUUGUUUGUUAAAAAUUUGCACUUUAGUCAGCUGUAUGUUCGUUUACACAAAAAAGAUAAGGUCUUCCUUUCCUAAAAGAUGAGUUUGAUAGCUAAUUCAUACGCUUGGCUUAAUGUUUUGGUCCUUUUGUUACUGUGCUUAUUGUGUAAUUAUAUGGAUGGUCGGACAUUAUUGGACAGAUUAGAGUGGCUGAAAUGAUUUUGGUUGCUUAUAAUAAAGAUUUUGAGUAUUGUCGAUGUCCAUAUUAUACAGGGCUAAUGUCCAUAAUAUACAGCUGGUAUAUAACCAUCCACGGUUUAGAGAGAAUGAGAGAGGGAGUGUGAGGUAGAGAGACAUCGAUCCUUUCAGCGCAAGCAUCAAGCGUUCAAGUCUUUUGUGAAUCCUCAUAUAUUCAUUCCUAGAAAACAUACACGACAAAAUAUCAAAAUAGUUUGUCUUUGUAAAUCAGUGCCACAUUGGAGAAAUCUGACUUUCUAUAUUCUUACAGUCCUCAGUUCUAACACCAUUUUCUUUUUACCUGGCCUUAAUGUUGGUAAUCUGUAGCUUGGAAUUUUUUAUUUUCCAAUAAGUGUAGCGUUGCAAUUCUGGAUUCACCAAAAUCCUGUUUUAGUAUAAGAGUGGAGCUUUAGUGAUGGUAGUACAGACUCUUUAAUGGUGCUAAGACUAUUAGAUAUUAUCAGUCUUCAGCGUCUGCAUAUGACUGACUAAUUUAAUUGCUGUUUCAAACUCCGCUUCUCGUUUCAUUGUCAUUUGGUUCCUUUGUAUUUGUGGCUAUGCAUCUACAAACACUUCAUGGUUACUGGUAGGUCCUCUUCAGGUGUAGUGAGGGUUGAGAUUGGAUCUUUGUUUUGAUAUACAGCAAUCUGAUCCUUUGCGAAAGGAUAUAAGAUCUCAUUUUACUGAAGAUAUGAAAUCUGUGCCUCAGAAAAAGGAUAUAAGAUCACCAAGCAGAUGAUUGACUUUUUAAUAGAACUUGAUGAUUGCUGCACAGUGAGUACUUGAGCUCUUGAUAGAUUACUAGAUGAGAUGAUAGGAUUGUACUCAUUGUGGAGGCUUUUUCUCAUUGUCACUUUGGAAAUGUUCCACUUCUCUGUUCUCUUUACAUUCCCUGCUUGUCAUGCAGCUGCUGAUUUGUAUAGAAACGGCAAAGCUAUCUGAAGCUUAGGGUUAUGCGUUUCACCAUGUCAUUAACCCCGAUGUUGAUUUUCUCCUCUUGAUAACUCUUACAGCUAGUUCUCUACUGGGCAACUCGUCUGGAAGAGUUCGACAACUCUAGUUCCCCUACAUUAGACUGAAUUAGCUGUAGGAUGUGCCUAUUUUCGUAUUAGUUUCCUUGCGUAUUUCCUCUGUUAUAGCAUUUAUUCUGCAGAGGCUUACAAGAUGCUUAGUGGCAAGUCAAAAUUACGAAAGGAUUAGCAAUUUAGGAUCUCAUAUCCAAGCUUAGAACCCAUGUGCUGUUUUUCGUUUAUUGAAAGGCAAUCCUCGUACAUUAACAUUUUAUCAUUAGAGCGAAGGCUUUGGAAGAUCACUGGACUGUAAGAUAAUUGGAUGGCCUAUAUCGAAGCCUAUUUUGAUCUGAGUGGAAGAUCACCAAAAUUGGGUGCUGGGUCCUGUAGAGGCUGUAAACUUAAAACAACCAGUUGGGACUGCACAAAGACUGGGACCUGAUGUUUGGACCUUACAGCUCACAGCUGGGAAUCUUGAAAAGUAAUGGGGUGGGGUGGAACUUCCUGAUGCUCUCCGAAUCUAAUAUUAAGGUCUGUUUGGGCUGAGUCAAGCAUAUUGAGAGGAGCUUGAACCCACACUAUGAUGAGUAGUACUUUGAGGAAACUGAACUGAGAAGUAUGGACCAAAAGCCCAAUUGCAACUUCGUCACCUCAAGUCACUUUACCCGUUUAAGAAUUCAUUCUCUACAAGCCAACAAGGUUUAUAUUUUCUUCAAGAAAGAAGAAAGGGGACUAUGGAGGACUCGUAUAUAGGGGAAAUUUAAUUUGCAUGUGAUGAGAUUCUGACCCAAACAUUUGUAGGGAACAAAGACCAAAGACCAAACUCUCCACUGUUGAGGCUAUCUAUCACUGCAAUCUUCUAUUGUUGCUACUUACCACACCAAGUCUUCGUCGGCUCAUUUGACCACCUAAAAUUAAAUGUCCCCACCAUCACCCCUCUUCCUUGUUUUUCCCCUGUUUUUUCUGCAGAAACAUUUUUUCCUAUCUUCUGGGCCAACCAAAAGCUAGCGUUGAGUUCAUUUACCGUUGCCCCAGUACAUUUUUAGGGUAACUUAUGAUGGGGCUUGGCAAGUUUAUAUGUAUUGACAAGAGGCCAGAAAAAUCUAAAACCUGGGAGACUAGGACCCCUUUGAAUUAAUUAUGAGAAAAAGCAAAGAUGAGAUGGAAUGCAGAUGCUUGUAAAAAUUAAAAAGAAAAAAGUGAUGAAACAUAUCCAACAAUGACUGAGAUUUUAUAGUUUUAUACCGGAUUCUUGCAAUGGUUAUUGGUGUACGUGUAACCUCUGUUUUUGUAUCUGUUCCCUGCCUUGGAAAAGAUAACUUAUGCACCUAAACGGUCCAGCUUACCCUUCCUGAAUAGUGCAAAUCAUUUGUUUGUACCAAAGAACCUUUUAGUAUGUCUUGGACCGUAUAAUGUACUAGUUUCUUCAUUUGAUAAUCAUUUAAAACAUGUUCUUACUGUUAAUUGCAUCAAAGCUUGAACUGUUGUUUUCGCAAAAGUAAUUACUGCAUGACACGCCACCUAUGUUCCAGUGAAAUUAUUGAGACUUAGAGAAGCUGGUGGGGAUUGCAUGAGGUGUACGAGUGUGCUCAAUAAAGGUCCAUUUAAGUUAAGGUUUGGGGUGGUUCAUCAUCCUUCCAAUGCCAAGAAAGGACAAACCUUAAGUCAGUUAGGUUUGAAAUCUGACAUUCUGAUGCGAUGAUGUAAUGCUUGCUUGCUUACUGACUUGAACAAUCUGACUCGAGGCUGUGGAAGGGUUGAUUAUUUACUUGAUAUAUAAUGCCUUUUCUUCUUGGAAAUGAUCAACUGGAAAGUCUGGAUUGGAAUUGCUCUGCUUCUUCUGCUACUAAUAAUUUCUGGGAGCGAAUUUAAUUCUUCAGGAGAGCAGUGGUACCUUUUCCUAUGGCAUUAAAUUCCUCGAGAAGAAUUUUGUUCUUUUCUAUUGACCUCCUCAAUACAUGCAAGCAACCUUUCCUGGUGAUUAUCAACCUAGUUAGAACAAGACAGAUGAACGGUACCCAAGCACGCUUCUAGCAAUCAUCAUUUUGCACCUCCAAAGCACAUUGAAAUGCUCUAGACAUUCACGCUUUCGUGUUUAAGGGCUAGCGACGACUCGAUUUCCAUUUCUUUCUUGUUGGUCUCUCCGGGGUGAAGGAUGGGAUUAACAUUUCAAUCAACUCCUCCUACUACGUACUGCUACAUAAAUGAGCAGUUCCCUGUAUGAUGAUCUAGUGGAAAAGACAUGCAACAGGUUUUAAAAGAAUCAAUUAGAGCUUUGACCAGUGAUUCAACUAAGGAAGGUUGGAAAUCUUCGGACUCGUAAUAAUAGACACCAGAGCUGCAUUUCCGGUAGGUAAUGUAGAUUAGAAGGUGAGAGUGUUAGGGAUCAAAUCCUUUCACUCAAAAAAUUAUCAAGCUACAAGCUUCAUUAGUCCUUUUCUUUUGGCAUUACAGGAUGAAAAAGGCUAAGAGGCUUUCAUAAAUAUCCCGUUAAGUAAGUACUACUACUCGUAAAGACAUUCAUUCGCAUGAACUUGCACAGGCUUGCUAGACAGUACGGUGUGAAAGGGGGCAUGAACCGUUGGGCCUGUUUUUGUCUCUUUGAAACAGCACAUAGGAUGCUGCGCACGUGGACAUGAAGAAGAAGACUAAAGAUAGAGAGAGAGAGAGAAAGAGAGGCAGACCCCAAAAUUUUCAAUUCUGGACGACGAGAAUCUCUCUCUCUCUCUAUCUCUCUGUGUAUGAGCCUGCCUGUGUGUGGAUGAAAUGAAACAUAGCAGAACUGCGUUCCCCGUUUGGGCUGUUCCUCAAGUCCUCAACCCUCUCUACCCUCAGCCAAUGUAAGAAAAUCUCAAUCAAAAUCAAAGAAUCAAAGACUGUCGUCCUUUUCUUUCAAUGCUCUAUGCAUCCCACAAUUACUGCUCUCUUCCCUGACACUUUCCACCCCAUGCACAGUUACAUAACUUACUUACACUUUUACAAAACUGUACAAACGUAGCUCAGGUUUCCAACACCACUCCUACUACCUUCUGGGCUUUUACUCACUGGACAGUGCUCUCUCGUAGGAGUACAUGGACAGUAUGACAUACGCUUGUAACUUAGUACCAAAUCAUACACUGUUCCAAGUCAGAAAUAUCUAACCCACAUGGACAGAGAAAAAAGGGGUAGUAGUGGAUACAGGAGGGAAAUGAUGGUCCGUAUGCCCAUGUAUCAAAAAUUUGCUCCAAGAUCAACAAAUAGAGAUAGCUAGGACCGCUAGGGGUUCUCAAUUUUCAUCACUAUUCCAGCAUGCACCUUGAAUGUGCUCCCCCCCUCUUUUAUGAUCCAAAUAGCUUUAUGUCACGAGUGGUUAACAUCUAGCAAAUCAUGCAAUGUAAGUGGGGUAGAUUAAUCUACCUUUCCUUUCCAUUUAUAGUAUUAGAACUUUAAUGAUGUCAUAUUUCUUUAAGCAACGCUAUGCUUUGCUCAGAUCUUCCAUGUCAGUAGUACUCUACUUAGCUACUUACUGACUGUCAAAGAUUAUACUGCAACAGUUUCACCUUCUACCUUUACUAUCUAUAUCUGGUAUCAUUUACCUGUAGAUCCAUCUCCUUCUUUGUAUGGUUCACGGAAAGUCAGUAAGACAAAACUCCUAGCUCCUUCCAGUCCCAGCUCUCAAUUCUCAUGGAUGGGACUCUCCCAGUCUCAGUCUCUCUACUACGACUCUACUCUACUCUACUCUAUUCCCCUAAUUCAAUGUGUUGCCUAGACUCCUCGGUGGGCCUUAAGCUAACUUUUCUAGACUUGAUGUGGAAGUACUGUAACUCUGUCUGUGUUUUUUUUUUUUUGUACAAAGCAGAUUGUCAUCUCAUCCUUGACCAACUGUUCUUUGAAUUUAUUUAUGUCCACAUUUCCUCUUCUUUUCUGCCCCAACUCAAUUUGGGUACUCAACUAAUGGGAAAAAAAGAAGCAAAUCAUGCAUGCCAAUUACGAGUAAUAUAAUGAGCUAUAUAUGUGUUGACCAGAGCUGCAUUUGCUCCCAAAAAAAAAAAAAAGGAAGAAGAGAGACUAGAGCUGCAUAGUUGCGGUCCACCCACUUAUCAGCACUAAAGAAACAAUUGAUUAUGGCGGAUAGUUCUUCGCAUUAUCUGCUGGUGUAUAUACCAAGCCCUAUGUAUCAGAUUAAUUAAUGGAACAACAUUUUGAAGUAAGUAAUCAAUAUGCAUGUGCAAUCAUGAUCUUGGAUGUAUGUAAUUAGUAGCACAUAAGUGGUCUUGUCAAAGUUCAUGAGGAUUGAUGAGACGGGUCUCUACUAUCUACUACUCUUAGUCUCUCUUAUAUAGCUCAAAAGCACCCAAGAAGCAAAGCUGAAGCUAAUGGCUUAGGGUGUUUGGAAGAGGUAGUUGGGAACUAUGGCACACACAUUAAUUUGUGUCCUUUUGCUUGGGCUAUGUAUAUUUCUCUCACUCUUCUGAUAGGAUGGAUCAAUUACUCAUUGGGACUUUCUUUCAUGGAGGGAAGGGCACAUCCUACCCAGCACAGUAUCCCCACCCCGAAAUUCACUGUGGGUCAUUCAAAAAGUACUCUUUGCAUAUCUUGAUGUCUUCUGUUCCUCCCUAACGAGUUUUGUCAGGUGACUGUUUGACUACUAAAUUCCUCCUGUCCUUUAAUCCCAAGUGUAAUGGCAUUCGUUCAUUAAUAGUAAUAGUAAUUAACUUCAUGUAUUACACUCAGUUUGUAUGGUCAUAUAUUGCCUGGUAUGUCAAUAUUGAAAAUGCGAUCGACAUUUUUUUUUCUUAUUUCAAGUGAAGUAUCGACAAGAAAAGUUUGUACUAACAAGAAAAAGCUUGUUUGUACGAACAAGAAAAAGCUUAAUGAAGUAUAGUGUGGAAGGCAACAAUCACAAGGGUUUGGCCAUCACCAGCCGUAUGUCCCCUGUGUAGGAGAAGCGACUAGCAUGAAGGGUUUGCAUCCAUCUCUCAAGUUUCAAAGUUGUGGGUCUGGCAAGUGCUACUACAUUACAAUAUCCAUGAUAACUUUUUAAGAAAGAAGAGAGGAGAGUUGGAAUUGCUCUUGUACAUAUGCAUAUGGUAAUGGUUUGGAAACUUGGGGGGACCAGAGAGAUGCGGACCGGGGCGACAAAUCCAACCAUCACCCCGUCCAUUUGAUAGAGUUUUGUUUUAAUCCUCUGCUAAUAGCGCUUCUGGUAAUUAGAAUUUGUCGACAAUUUUGUUUCGAAAGGGUUGAAGUAUAGGGUUUGUCUGGAUAAAAGAUUAUUUGGACAAAUUUUUGGAAACUAUAUGCUAACAUCGCUUUUUUUAUAAUUUGAUACAUGUGAAGUGAAAAAAUAAUUUAAAAAAAUAAAAAUGUGAUUGAAAAAUAUAUUUAUAAUAUAAUUAAAAUUUUCUUUUUAAAAAAAAAAAAAUCACAGUCCAAACAAAUCCAUUCUGACUCGCCUCGCAAAAGAGUGUGGAAUUAACCAAAUAUUUCUUGGCAAAUCUUUUCCACAUUUUUUUUCUUUUACAGUAAUAUCUACAAAUGUGAUGGCCGAAGCAAUUCAAGUGUAACUUCAGGGCUCCAAUGACCAAUAGCCAUUUUUGAAACUACCAUUCAUUGCCUGUGCAUUUAGGGGUGUAAAUGAAUCUAAUCAAGUCGAACAUCUUAAUGUUCAACUUUGUUUGAUUAUUUUAACGAGUUUAAAUUUUUGUUCAAAUUUAACUUAUUUAUUUGUCAAAUGGAGUUUAAAUUGAGUUUUUUAUCGAAUUUGAAUGGAGUUUAAAUGAGUUUUUUUUUUUAUCGAAUUUGAAUGUUAUCGAACAUAAAACGCUGUUUGAAUUUUGGAUCGACUAGUUAGUGCAUCAAGGUCGAACUCGCUUUUACCUAGGGUUGCAAAUAAAUCAAGCUGCUCGCAAUCGGGUCCGAACUCGAUUAACAUUGAGCUCGAGUCGAGAUCGGGCUGAUCAAGUCAAACUCGAGCUUAAAAAUACUAAAUUCAUUAGCUCGCGAACCAAUUCAAUCUCUAUUAUGUAUAUAUGUAUAUAUAUAAUUUUUAUUUUAAUAAUAAAAUUACAUAUAUAUUCCUAAUAUUUUAUUAUUUGUUAAGAAAAAUUAUUAUUUUAUUUAUUUUUAAAAAUUAAAAAAUAUAUUUUUUAAUUUUUUUUAAAGCUCGAGCUUUAUAAACCAAGAUUAAGACUCGAUUCGAUUAGGUCAAAAUAUGAUUCGACCCGACUCGACUCGUUUGCAUCCCUACUCUACCAAGUGAAAGUCAGAUUCGAGUAUAGAAUAAUUUGGUUCAUUUCGACCCUACAUGCAUUGUAAUAACUUUCUGAGCCAUGCGCGACCAAACUGGGAUAGCAUUCACGACCACUUUGGUCAAGGCAUUACAUGUUCAAUUUUAUUAAUUAUGUGGUAUAGAGUGAAGCAAUUAAGUUAAACGACUUCCAUGCUAUUUCUUAUUAAUAUUUUACUUGCACAUUUUCCUUUACUUUUUUAUUUUUGUAAUAAGCGGAAGUGAAAGAAAAAUGAAAAAAAAAAAAAAAAGUUCCUGCAUUUUGAAGUUUUGCUUAAAUUGUGCACAGCUGCUGGCUAGUAAUUUGCAAAGGACAUUAGGUUUAUGGCCACUCAUUAUUAGCUACAUAUGAUCUAUCUUAUUGGUUGUACUGGUACCCUAUUUCACCUGUGUGGGAGACUAUCUUGUGGCUUGUAAUCCCAUCCCACGUUAGUGGUUGGAUUUUGUCUUGUUUUUAGGAGCUCGUCCUAAAUACUGCAUAGCAACAGGGACACUAUAAUAAUGGCCUUUUCCUUUCAUGUAGUUCCAGGGGAACAGACUCAACAGAAUCUCAUGGAGCAGUCAUCCUCCUAUUCUGUUGUGGGCCAACUCACAUCAACAUUGUGGGGGUGGGGGGGCUCCUGUUCUUUUGGUGCCCUAGCUGGCUAGUAUUCUGAGAGUCAGUCAUGAGGAUGGAUGAGAGCCCUGAGCAUGGAUUAGCAACUCAGCACCUCCGACUUAUUUAUUCUAACACAUUACACCCUUUCAGAAGCAAAACAUCUCACUUCUUACGCAUAAACUUUGAUCCCACCACCUCAAAGAUAGUUGAACUUUUGAGAGAUUAUACCAACUUAUAAUACGUACAUCAUGAAUAUAAACACACACACACACACACACACAAGGGUUAAUUAAUUUAUUCUCAUUUCUCCUAAAUUGGGUUACCUAACAUGAACAGGAAUUUGUUGUAAUCAUGCUAGAUACACACAAGCUCCAUGUCAAGAAACCAAUAAAAGUAAUUAGGAACAGCAGAUCCUUGGAUAUGGUUCAAGAUCUGUGAACUACCAAGGCCUAUGCAACCAAGGCCCUCGUUAAUUUUGUUCAUACACAUGUAUAUAUGUCAAUGUACUUUUUAUAAGAGACAUGAUCGAUCUUAAGCAUACGCCUCUAAUUCUUCCCUUAUCCAAUAGACCAGAAGUUCAAUAAAUAAAUGUCCACUAUGCAUAACAAACUCAAUAAUAUUUGUGUGGGUACAUACCAGACAAAUAAGCCACGGCUGAUGUACUCAAAUAACUAACACAUAAUAUAUUAUUGUUCAGUAUCUUAUUAGCUUAUUAAUUAACUAAUCAUCAAAUGUUGAUCGACAUAUAAAGUGGCUGCUGCUGCUGCUUUAGUAUACGCAUCCGAUGACGACUACCAGAGCAGCCCUUUCCAAAGUACUAUUAUCACUCUUCGAAAAAUGCAUAUAUAUAUAUAUAUAUGAAAUGGGUUUUGUUGAGAAUAUGUUGUCCACUUCCUAGGUUUGACAUCAUCAUAUGCGGCUAUGGACAAAGAAGUGAGCCUACUCCUACUUGUGCUUAGAAAGAAAAGGACUGGUGAAGGUGGAUGGAUGGAAAUUUUAUCACAUGAGUUUAGUACAAAAUAAUCCAAGAAGAUAAGGUCAUGAAAAUGCAAUUAUGUAUCAUCAGUAUGUGAUAAGUUGUUGUUUCUUUGUCCGUAAUUCCACUCCACUGAAUUCAGAUGCCACUCUAUUAAUGUUGUACUCCACAAAAUAUGUGCCUAACUAUAUACAUAUAUAUAUAUAUAUAAACCCAAAACGAGAGAGAGAGAGAGAGAGAGAGAGAGAGAGAGAGAGAGAGAGAGAGAGAGAGAUCAGAGGGCAAAAAGAAGAAGAAGAAGAGCUACAGCUACUACGUAUGCUAGAGUGGCCACACGUGCUGGGUCACCUAGCUUCAUAGAGACCACACGUGCACAUGGGAAGGCACUAGACAGAGGGGAAAUAAAACUAGGAAAGAAACCACCACAGAAAAUAUAUGCAUGACGAGAGAAUACGUAUAUGUGUCUUCACCCUCCCCAGGGAGGGCUCCCCAGUCCCUCCCCAGGGUCACCAGUCAAAAAUACCAUCACACACACACACACACACUCACUUUUAACACACAAUUCACACACACAGAGAAAGAGAGGGACGUAGGCAGGGUUUUACUGAGUUGGCUUGUGGUGGUCUGAAAAGUUUAGGCAUCAGAUGCUGCCACGUACAUCUGUUGUCCGUGUCUGCAAAAUACAACCCACACACACACACGUUUGGUUUCUUUUGGAACUUGCUUGCAGCAUCGUUGUCUUCACUCGUAACUAAUCCCAUCUCAUCCAAGCUUUGCAAACAUCUCAGUUCCCUCUCACAACUUGUCUGUGUUUUUUGUACAACAUCAAUGAUCAAAACCAAACACUUCCGUUAACGUUUCUUGCUUACAUUCUCGUGAAUUGGCUGUAUAUUCUUUACUUGAACCCCAACUAUCUUUGCUGCAGCUCCGAAUGGACACUUUGUGCAUGACAAAUGAUAAACCAUGAGUGUGUUUGGAUUGUAAGUUAUUUGCCCAAAUAUAUUUGCUUACAUCACCAUUAUAAUUUUCAAUACACCUUUUUAUCUUCCCAAUUACCUUUUUAUCUCACGUACAUCACAUCACAAAAAGUGCUACAGUAAAAAUAUCUCAAAUAACUUACAAUCCAAACACACUGCAUAUUAUGCAAUCAAUCAAAGAGUUAACGAAGAGGUUUCCAAGGCCGCCUCAGCUCAUAUUAGAGGACUUCAGGGUUUAAAUGCGUGUAAAUUUACUCUUUAAAAUUUAUACAUGUGACAUGCAUCCGCUCCCGCUUCCAUACACACUACUACUGACCGUAUAGAAAAAAUUAAUUUAAUUUAUAAUUUAGAAACAACUAUAUAUGUAUAUAUGUGUGUGUGUGUGUGUGUGUGUGGUGGCAUUCAAAUUCUUGAUUUAAUUUUGUGUGGAUUCUAAAUUGUUGAUUUUAGGAAAUUGCUUUCCUCCAAAAGGGCAUUUUAUUUUGUAAACAAUUAGUAGCAGCAAAUAAUGAGUAUUCUACUCUCACAUCACAUGCAUGCAAACAUCAACAACAUACCAAGACUCUGAAAGCUGUACCAAUAAAACUGACCUGGCCAGCCAGAAGAAGUAGAUAUCGACACACAAAACAUGCCUCAUCGGUCGGACCCUAUAUAUUGGCCAUUGAGUUUGGAAGUAACUGAAAAAUGGGGACAAUUCUUUCGCUGUUUCCAUUCUUAUUAAUUGAGUGGUUUUCAAUUAUAGGCUGAUAAGGCAUUUCGGUUGGGGUUCCUGCUUCCUGUGUCCUAUAAAAUAAAAAUAUGAAGUCAGGUUUCAAAGUUAUUUGACCAAAGGUGCUUCAGUUCACUGAAAAGGUUGUACAUUCCUGUUGCACUGACACAAUUAAUGAAACGUAUGCGACUAGGCUUUGGUAUACCAGCAAGUACAUAAAAUUUGAUAUUCACACACUGUUUUCCUCUCAAAGGAAAUAGUUGAAAUUGGACUUUGACAUAUUUAAUGUGCCAAUUCAUGACUUUAAAACUUGUUUUACUCUCCCUUGGAAAUCUCACGAGCUUGUCAAGUUGUUUCUUCAAUCGGAUCAUUCUGCCAACAUUCCUGCCAAAUAAAUAAAUUUAGUAGUAUUGUUCAAAACAGAGCAGUAAACAGAUUAAUUUUCCAUCAUCAUUUUAUUGUUACCGCCAAGCUUGGAAUAGGACAUAUUUUUUCAGACUGCCUAUGGUGGGUGCGCCUUGAACCUAUAAUUUGCAAAUUAUAACAACUUCUACAAAUUAUUUUGCUUUUAAAAUUUCUUGCACGCUUAUACAUACAUACAUACAUAUAUACAUACGCACAUAUAUACACUCGCACACGCUAUAAUUGCUAGUUAUUUGAUCCAACGAAUAUCAAAGGCCAUUUUGCAAAAUUAGUUUCUUUUGUAAAAUUCUGAAUGUAAGUCACAUAUAAUUGACGAUAAGAGACCUUACACCUACCGCAACAUUCAUCAUUCUAAACUUACCACUAACCUUAUGCAGCUUUUUCAACCCCCACAUUAAAGGGAAAAAAGUCAAUAUAGAUGACAAACAUCCUUAGUUGUAGUUGUAACGAAAAAUCUUAAAUAAGCAGAAAAAAUUAAAAGAAAAAAAAAAAGAAAAGAAAGCAACAUUGCCAUGCAUUUUCCCCCUUUCUUUCAAUUGUCAUGAUUGGAUAGAGGACUUGUUCGCGAGAGUGUUUGUAGCUUCUUUCUAACGCAAUUUUCUUAAAAUACCAAACUUGUUGAGAAAAGUUUUCCUCCUUGUGAACAUUUGGACAUCAGUGAAUAGUUGGACUGUCUAUUGUAUUUCUUCUCUUACUCGUCACAAGCUAAUAAGGGAAACUUCUAGUAGUACUAAUUUUACACUACGAUAUGACAAUUGACAUAACAUGACGGAUUUUGGGAAAAGUUUUUUGUCCAGAAAUUUCAGUCGAAUACUAGUAGGAAAUUUUGGUGUUAUGUCGAUGUGUAUUUUCCAAUUUGUAAGAUUACAGUAUUCUCGAGUCUUACUGCUCCUCUUGAAGUUAAAUUGACUUCUUGACAUCCCAAAUAUUGCCAUGCAUUGAACCACAAAAGGUUAAAACUGAGAAAAAGUUGGGAUAGCUUAUCAUAAUUAAGUACUUUAGUUUAGAUAUGAAUAUGUCGAAGCAGGACAAUUUUUCCGAAUGUGUAAUGGCUUUUGUACUUCUGUCGUUGGCUAAACUUAAGAAGCUUAAUGAGUCACUGACGAAAGAGAUGAAGUGGAAGUGAUAAUUUAGUAAACAGCUAUUUCAAGUUUUGGUAUUGAUGAGCUAUCGUGGGGUCAAAUUCUUGAUGUAUACACGAUCACAAGAAUUGGAAACCAAUAUAUAUAUAUAUAUAUAUAUAUAUAUAUAUAUAUAUAUCUCGAGACCAAUGUAGAAAUGAUUAAUAUAACUCAACACCAAUGUGAUUUGGCGGCAUAAAUACAAAAGGGGCUUCCGAGCUAGCAUUACACAGUCAUUGGCUAUCAGGCGUGAAAAGUGACAACAGGAAUCCGGCAUUCAUGAAAGCUCUAGCUAUUUUGGCUUCUCUCGUGUGACUUCUCCUACAUAAUAAGAAUUUAAGUAUUAAUUUUAAGUCUUCAAAAUCUCUUAGCUUAUGAUAUGCGUCUGUGGGCAAUUGAAGAAACAUUAGUGAGGGUCAAAUCCAACUUCUCCCUCCCUUUUAUUUUUUGGUCUAUAAAAAUGGUGAUUUGAGAGUUGAAUUAUGAAUCUCAAGAUCACUUAAUUUACGUCCUUAACAGUUGAGUCUUGAGGGCAAAAGUUAAAUUCUUUAUUAAGUGGUCUGAUUAUUAUCAGUGCCAUAAAGAGUGCAGAAUGGCCCAACAGGUAGUUUUUCUUCCUGCUGCCAUUUGUAAUUGCCACUCUUGGCAUCACGUCAAAAUCAUAUCACCACUUUUCAUGUGAAAAAAAAAAUCUGAUGCAUCAAAAUUUACUUUUUAUCCUGCUUAGAGUAGAAUUUGUAUUUGAUUGACGAUUAUUGCAAGAUCAAUUUUGUUUGUACAUGCAAAAUAUUAUUGUACCACAAAAUCUCCUAUUACAGAUUCUCAACUGUGACUACAGUUUUUCUACUGGAAUAGGGAUGGAGAUUUAGCAUUACAAGUUGCAAGAUAUGAUGGAGUGCUAUGUUCUUGACAGGGUUGGUUAAAGUGGUGUAAUCAAAGCUUCAUUUUCAGCAUUUGACAAGAUAAAGGGUGUCUAAGACCUGUAUAACACGAAGCUAACAGACAUUAUAUUUGAAGUCUCUCUUGUCAAUGUCGGGAGAGACAGCCUAAGACCUUCACCUCUACUCUCAGCUGGUGGCAUAUAUAGGUAUUAGGACAUGGGAAAACAGAAGAAUAUUAAAAACUAGAAAAAGAUAGCAAUUUCACUGUUCCCCAGGAACAGGAAAAGGAAAAAAAAUGGAGAAAUCUGUUACUUAUUCUGGUACGAGUGAGAGCGAUAGUUUCUUUUUUAUUUUUCUUUUAGAGUAAAAAAAUUUUAACUCGCAAGUAUAAAUAUUGGGAUAAUAACUUUUGGAGUUCAGUGAGGAUCAGUCCACUCAGGGUGGUUAAUCUACUCACCCAAACACACAUACACUUCUCUUUUCUGUUAGAGACACUUUUGCUGUUUUUCUUGCUCCUCCCAAGUUUCUUUUUCUCAUCCUGGGCUGCAAUACUUCUUCCUUUCUUUCUCCUGCUCACUCCACCAUCUGUCAAACUUCUUUCUCCUUCAGCUCUGGUCCCUGCUGAAAUCUUUCUUUUUGCACCCUUUUUCAUCACGUCAUGAUCAAGAUGAAUGUGACCGUGUAGAGUUGAUGUUAAAGUAAAGCACCCUUUCUGUCAGAAAGGAUAAAGAGUUGAUGGAAAUGGCAAACAAGCAGUGUAGUAUUUAUGCACCAAAUACUACUAGUAGCAUAAAUACGGGCAUUGACAGUUAUCCAUCAGGGGCUUCCCCGUUUCUUUGUUCAUCAUCAUUAGCAUUAUCAUCGCCAUUAUCUUCCUCUCCUCCUCCUUCAGGUUCAAUGGGCAUGAUUUUUGAAGACAUGAGCUGUUUGUCCAUCAGUCCAAACUAUCUUUCUUCUUCACGAGAUAGCUUACAUGAAGGAAGACCUUGUUGGGGUUUUUCUUUUAUGCCAAAAUGCCUCCUGGAGGAAUCCCAAAAUAGUGAUGUGGGAGAAGGUAAAGGUUCAUCCGACUGCAGUGACGGAUUUGGAGAAACUGGUAAUCAACCCAUUGAUCUUAAUGCUGAUUUAAGUGAAGAAAAACAAAGCAAUAAUCUUCAGGCCGUUGGUAGCAGAGAUAGUGGCCAAUCAAAGCUCUGUGCUAGGGGGCAUUGGAGGCCUGCCGAAGACACAAAGCUUAGGGAACUAGUAGCCCUUUAUGGCCCUCAAAACUGGAAUCUCAUUGCAGAGAAGUUGGAGGGAAGGUCAGGUAACAGCUAGAACCUUAGCUAGUUCUCCUUCAUCAAGAGCUCUAUCGUGUCUUGGGAACCUUCUUAUGUUUAACUUUGCUUGUGCAUGUUCCUUUUUAAGGUAAAAGUUGCAGAUUGAGAUGGUUUAACCAGCUGGAUCCCAGGAUAAAUAGGAGAGCUUUUACUGAAGAAGAAGAAGAGAGACUAAUGGCAGCACACAGGCUAUAUGGGAAUAAGUGGGCCAUGAUUGCUAGACUUUUCCCAGGUAGAACAGAUAAUGCAGUCAAGAACCAUUGGCAUGUUGUGAUGGCUAGAAAGUAUAGAGAGCAAUCCAGUGCUUACAGGAGGAGAAAGAUGGGCCAAUUUGUCUGCGGGAGAGUAGAAGAUCACGACCGUAGCUUUGUCAGCAGGAGGGAUGCAAGUGCACACAUCAAAACAGAAUCAACAGGACCUCCUCCUCAUAAUUACACUCUGAUUAAUAACUCCAACGGGACACUACUUGGUAACCUAACAGCUUGUUCGUCAGGAGGAAAUCUUAAUGGCGGUGUAGGUGCUGGUGGCAUUGGGAUUGCUUGUGGAUCAAAUAUUUCACCCCACAUGGCAUCUGGUGGGGAAGCAGUACUAAGCAAUAUCGUACCCUCUCGUCACACUGGAUUUUGUUCAUCACAACAAACAUCCUGUGACAUCUUUCCUGGUGUGUCCCUUAACACAGAGAGCACGUUUCCUCGUAUAUUUGCCUUACCUCGUUGCUUCAAAUUGUUCCUUUUUCAUAUUUGUGGUCUCUAAUAUUGCACUGGACUUUGGCCAUUGAUUGUGGAUUCUUGUUCUGGUUAGUUGUUGUUUUGGCUCAGUAAAUAUGAAGGAAUAUUUUUCCUACUCAAACCUUAGGACAAGAGUAACUGAUUAAUUAUUUGAUUGCUUAGUUAGUAAUACUACAGAUUUUAUCUCUCUCCUGUUUUCAUGAAAUGGAGCCAAGGCAAACCUUGCUCUUUCCUUCUCAUUUUUUGUCCAUUCAUGGUAAGAACUAAAAACCAAGAAGUUUGAACUCAGUGAGUUUUUUUUUUAAACUAAUCAUCUUUUCUGAAAUUUCCAAGAUUCAAGUAAUUAUUGUAGCUGUAGCACUUAGUAGUUACUAGUAGCUAGUAGGACAUAAGUAGCGAUUGAACCCACAGCCUUGUUUUUUUCUGCAGGAAACUGCAGCAAUGGGAUGAUGAGCAUUUUCAAGCAAGGCAGGCCUUGGGAUAGGCCAAGAGAUGAAUCCAACGUCUCAUAUCUGUGUCAUCAUCCCGUGCAGCAGCAGAUUCACCAUCCUCUUUUAAUGACUGCAAUGCAACAGUCACAACACUGCCAGUACCACCACCCUCCUAGCACCAGCACCAGCAGCCUCUCAUCAGUAGAUUAUUACCAUAACACUAGCACAGGAGGAGGAGGAGGAGGAGGAGGAGGAUCAAUAUCAAUACCACCACAAGUUUCAUCACUACUCACUACUACCACUGACCCUGCAUCAUCACCACUCACAGAAGACAGAAUAACCAGCCAAUACGAGACCCUUUCCCCACCAUUUAUAGACUUUCUCGGGGUUGGAGCCACAUGAAGUUAAAAAGCCAAUGAAAGCUCAAAAUGGUUUACUCAAUCCCUAGAGAAGAGGAGAAGAGGAUCUUUCGCAUUGGUCAUUACUGCUACUACUAGACCAACCCUGGCGGGUUUUCAUUACUAAUUUACUACUACAACUGAAGAGGCAUUUUGUUGAGUCAAAGUAGAAACAGUGCAAGUUCUUUCUGUUUCGUAGCUUUGAAAUAUCAAAUAUCAAAGCCCCCCCUAUCUUUCAGAGUCCUCACCCACUCUAUUGAUCCAUUCCACCAAUAACCACCACCCCCCCUUUCCCCCCCCCCCCUCCCCCACCACACAAAAAAAAAAACCCCGCAUCCUUUUCUAUUGUAGCCUGUUUUGUAGUCUCUAUUCUUCACAUGAUGAAAUGAAACCUGUUUGAUAUUUUUGUGAUACUACAAAAUAAGAUGCUCUCACUACUGUUUCUACAUUUUCUUUCUUGCUUUAUUUUUUUUCUUUUUAAUUUGGCACAUUCGUAACUUCCUCGAGUGAAAGGGAAUUAAAUAUCACCAAAAAAAAAAAAGAAAAGAAAAGAGCUGGGAUGCCAAGUAGUAGUAAGUAACAGCUGACAAUUAAUGUGUCCUUUGACAAGUAAUAUAGUCAGGAGGCAAGGCCUGCUUGGUUGGUUACUUGAUUAGUAGCUAAUUAUCAGUUUGCCCAGCGACAAGGGGUAUGAAGUCACCCUAUUCUUGUUUAUCAUGAACCUGCGAAACGGAAAAACCUUUUUAAUGAACAUCAUAUGUUAUCCUACUGAUCAAGUUCUGUUGCACUAGUAAGUAAAAUGUUUUGUUUUGUUACCAAAAGAGACGAGGAAGCAAAGGGGCUGUAGGAUAGUGUGGGAGCAAAAAUCAUGGGAGACGGUGAUGAGACUUGAGGGAAAAAGACAAAGUAAAACACUGGGGAAAUCUGAAUACAUCCUUUUCUCAUGGACCUGCAAAAAUCAGGCACAAAUUCUGGGCCUGAACACAAAAACCUGCUUCGAAUGCAGUCAUUAUGGUAACUGUUUAACAUCCUUGCCUCAGCAAGAAUCUUCUGAGAGUAGUCAUGCUGCCCACAUGGGCAUGGUUCUAUGGAGCUGCCCAACAGUCAAAUACUAAUCUUAUGUUAGUAUACGACAUCCACCGCAUCCGACCCCCCCCCCCCCCACCCCUUUAAAAAAAAAAAAAAAUCCCCGAAAUCCACCACACCUUAUUCAAAAAAAACCCCAUGAACCGUAAAAAGCAUGCUUAAAAUUGAAAAAAAAAGAAAAGAAAAGAGCAAAAUAGGGAGUAUCAUUUUUAGUCCAUCACUGGAUCUUUAGACGCUGGAAGAAGCAAAUGAUUUAAUGCAGCCAUCAUUACUCAUCUGUAACUCUGCAUUCAUCAUAGUCAACAGUCGGUUUCAACUUGCAUUAGCCCUCUCUAUGCUAAUUAAGGAAACCAAACAGCGUAUCUAUAGGCAUAAUAAUAAUAAUGCACCUGGCUGAUUCAUCAAGAUUGUCACAGCAGAAAAGAAAACAACAAAGAGAAAUGAAGAUGUAUUCUUCCUUUCUUUAUUUUUUGUGUAGGGAAAGGGAGGGGGGGGUGGGGGGGGAGGGGUGUUGGUUUUGUUCAGAUUUGAUGGAAAUGAACAAAUCUCUCUGCUCUCAUCCUAAUGUCACAAGUGAUGCACGCUCUGGGAAGCCAACCACGCAGAUGCUGGAUGCCUUUUUCCAACUGACGUCAAUGUACCUGUAACCCCACUUGAGAUCCUCGGUGUCAUUUUUUUUUAUGUCAACCCAAUGCCAUCUGUAAUAUUGCCAAGUAUCCUGUUAUUAUUUAUACUUGUGUUGAAUUAUUAGAAGAUUAAAGUGUAAAUAAUAAUAGGACACUUGACGCAAUAUUAUAGGUGGCAUAGAAAAACAUGUCACCGAGAAUCACAAGUGCUGUAACUCAUAUUCGGAAGAUUAUUUGAAAUAAUUUAAUAAAAAAAAUACUAAUAUAUCAUUUUUUUAUAAUAUAAUAUAAUGUAUAUGAUAUAAAAAAAUAGUUUAAAAAUAGAAAGGUGAUUGAAAGAUCGUGUUUGUGGUAUAAUUAGAUUUUUUUUUUUUUGCAAAUAAAAAGCUAUCCAAGCACAGGUAAAAUUAAUACAAAUGCCUGUAUCAGAAACAUAAUUUUCAAUUAAUUUUUUUUUUAAUUUUACAUGUAUUACAUCUUAAAAAGUGCUGUGAUAAUUAUUUCAAAUAACUCCAAAAACACAAAUGGUUGAUAUUCGUAAAGAGCACUACCGGACGGUACUGGGCUUCGAUACUUUAAUCUUGAACUUAUUAGGCAGUCAUUCCAAUUCUUUACUGUGUGAUAAAUGAAAAUGGUUAACAAGUAGGCAGUCAUUCCACUUCUUAUACUAUUUUAAUCAUCUCUACUUCUUCUACUAGCGCGUAAAGAUAAAGUGAAUCUUACCCCCCAAAAAAAAAAGGGGGAUAAAGUGAAUGAGUUACAAGUAGCUUAACUAGCACGCAAUAUAUACUUUUUUGUAUAUAAAAAUCAACAUUAGACAAAGACAAAACUUUUUGAAUAGGUAAGUAAAACAGUAAAUUUUUGUAAGCAGUAAAAACCUUCGACAUGAUCAAAAUGUUGGCAAAUAUUUGGCCUUAAAGAUGUAAGUUAUGAAUUUGGAAGACAAGGGCAAUGACAAUAUAUAUAUAUAUAUAUAUAUGUAUAUGUGUGUAUGCAUGCAACCGCUAACUAUGAGGAAGCCAGCCAGCCAGCCACCUCCCUCUCCCUCUCCCUCUCCCAUCUGUAGCUGUAGCCUGUCUGAAGACUGCGGCUCCGUUUGGAUUAGCUGUUUUUUGGGAUGUUUUUGAAAAACUUUGCUGUAGCAGAGUUUUUAGAGUAUAUUUUGAAAUAUUUUUAAAAAAUAUUUUGGAAUAUUUUUUAUUGGCACUUUAUUUUGAGAUAUUUGGUAAAAUUUUAAAAAAUUUUAAAUUAAUUUUUAGAUUAUCUUUUAGAGUACUUUGUUAUAACUUUUAUUGUAUUUGAAAAAUUAGUUUUUGAAAAACACUCCAAAAAUAGGAGAUCCAAACAGAGCCUGCAGUUGUUAUAACGUUUGGAAAUUUGUGUUGUGUGUGCGUUUUCGAAUCAGACUUUUGUCUGCCGUUUGGUUGAAGCCAAUUCAGUCCUGAGCGAUAGCAAUCUAAUGUGGGCCUCUAUAUGCUUCAUUUCCCACGGGGAUCUGCUUCCCAGUUUUGGGCUUCUCAAGUUGAAGAACUUGAAGGAGGGUUAGGGUCUUCUUAAUUAGACAGCAAUUAAUGACUGUUUCCUGAAUUUCAAUAAUGGAGCAGUACUAUGAAUUGAGGGAUGAAAGAGUUGUGAGUUUUCCACCCAAAAAAAAUUAAAUUAAAUAUUUUCUUCACACAUUUUCUAAUUGCUUUUUUAUAUUUAUAUGCAGUACAUCAUAUCGCUGCUGCAGCAGUAAAUUUCUUUUUUCUUUCUCUAAAAAAAGUGGGCUUUUAAUUCACAGAUUAUGUAGCAUUGUAUAUAUUCUGUACGACAAAUUAAAUCGCGUUGAAUCUAGAAUUCGAGUUUCAUAAUUUUAGUCGCAAACUCAAUAUUGCGUGUAUUUGUUCGAAUUUGGGCCUUAGGCCGCAUGCAGAAACACACGACAGUUUUUGAAAUGGCAGAGCAGGGUUGGAUAAUAGUCCAAUGGUUCCAUGCACUUAUGGUGUAGUCAGUCCAAACUCUUAAGCUUAAAGACAAAAACCUCUCUCUUUCAUUUUUUCUUGUUGCAGUGCAGAAGAGAAGGAAUUUAAAUGGAUCUUCAAUCCACUAAUCAUUGCAUUUUCACCCGGGCACUGGUAAUACACAUUCUUGGCACUGGUACGUAAUACACAUUGACAGCUUUAUAGCUUACCUAAACGGGUUAGAGUGGAAAUACCAACAGAUACAAGGGUGGGGAAAAAAAAGAAUAAAGGAAGAAGAUCAGCAGAAACACUUGCCCAUGAACGCCAAAAACUCUUCAAAAUCAAGGACUCCAUCGCCAUUGUCAUCAAAAGCACAGAUCAUCCUUCUACAGUCCUCCAGUUCUGAUCCUUCCUUAAGGCACAGCCCACAUAACACUCUCUGUACCUCAGCUGCAUCUAUAAAUCCAUCUUUAUUCUCAUCAAACACUUGAAAAACUUGCUUAAUCUCCUCUAAACUAGGCUCCUCAUCAAGCAUUAUAUCGGAAAACUCACUUACUUUCCAGUUCUCUACAUCAUCAUCAUUACCUUCUUGAUCACAUGCUAUUCCAAGUCUAGUCAGCACUGUCUUGAUCUCCUCCAUGCAAAUUUCUCCAGCUGCACUUGGUUUAGCAGUUGGGUAAGUUUCAACAACUUUCAUGUUGCUAAUAACCCCUGUCCUCGUGCUCGUCCUCCAUUUUCCCAAACAAGACUUAACAAGAUUUUCUAGGGAAAAAUGAAGACAUGGAAAGAUAAAAGUGCAAAACCUGACCCCCCACUGGAGAACUUUGAAGAGAGAAAGGAACCGUAACGAGGCAGAAGCCAUGACUUCGAUUCUUGAAAACAUGAAGUGAAGGUGUUUUCUGAGAUGGAUAGGAAAUUAAUUUCUUGCUUUGGAUGAUGAAUUAUGCAUGGCAAACUGGCAAUGCACGCUAUAUAUAAGAAAAUUUUAUAGUACUCUGUACUGGUGAAUUCUUACUUGUUAAAAUACUAGGAAUUUACCAGUAUUCUAUCGUGAAGAAUCGCGUCCUUCUGUUACUUACUCUUUUAGUAAGUGGAUUACAAAUUCCUGGAAAUGUUCACGGGAACGGCCAAGAAGUUCAUGACCUUUUGUCAUCACUCCUCAUCCAUUCUUUCUUGGAAAUUAGUCAGCCAAAAAGAAAUUCUUUGAGGCUCGAAAGCUAGUGUAAACGCCAAGAAGAAUAGGCUGAAGUAGUGAACCUCACGACGAUGGUCGAAAGUGCUGGAGAAAUUUAUGGAAGUUCCACUGCAAUUUGCUUUUCAUACUAAAUAGACUAACAAACAAUUGCUUUCGCUUUUGACGUACGUAUUUCUGAUAAUGAAUCGUAGCCCUUUUUUAAGCUAGAAAAAUAUAGCAGUAGUUCCAUUCCGUCAGACGUUGUCUUCUCGGUCGACCCGUCAAGUCAUCUUGAGUCAACCUUUUUGUCUCCGUGUUGAAACAUGGCCCGUCCUUCUUCCUGCUUAAGUGCAUUUGUCACUUUUGCCCCUCUUGUUUUGUUAGGAAGGAGGGUGCUUCCUGACCCGAGAGAGCAAUACACUAACGUAAAGCUUUUCUUGGUUUAACCAAACUUUUUCUUAAAAAAGAAAAAAGAAAAAAGAGCUUGCUUUUAUUUUCUUCAUUCGAUUCAAGAAUACCUUAACUUCUAAGGUGGAUAAAAAAGGGUAGAAAACUUGAGAGUGGAAUUAGGUGCUUUAUGAUACUGAAACUAUUAUACUUAUCUGUUAAGUGUAAUUUAGUUUUCCUUUUUUCCCAAGCGAUAAUUACCUCUUAUAAAGAGUAUUAAGGGACGGUUUGGAAUUGCGGUAAUUUAUUGAAAAGUACUUCCCUAAUAGAACUUUUAAUAAAAGUACUUAUUAACUGUUUAAGUACUUUUAAAUAUAUUGUUAGAAAACAUAGUUCAAUAAGUACUUAUUGUAUUGGAUAAUGUGUAAUUUGAAAAUUUUUAAAAGUGUUUAUCUCUUUAUUUGGUUCAUGAUAUAGGAUAAAAUGAUUAGAUUUGAUAUUUUAUUUUUUUAAAUCACGAAAGAUACUCUAAAAGUACCAAAUUUAAGGUUUUGUUAAAAGUGCUUUUAACACCAAAAACUCUACUCCUAAUUUUAUGAAAUGAUAUUCAUCAAAUUCUUUAAAAGUACUUUUAACACCUAAAAAUAUUUUUUUUUUAUCAAAAGUAUCGCAACCUCAAACAGGGCCUAAACGAGGUACAAAGUAUGAGCAGCUGCUCUACAGUCAUCCUUGGCUAAGUGUAAAUAGUUGUUUAAAUAAAUAUGAAUAAUAAUUAUUAGUUUUAGCAAGAAGCACGAUCCGUUUGAAUUGUGUGUUUUUUAGGCACAUGUCUCAAACUUUAUUGUAAUUUAGUGUACUUGUAACUUGUUUUAGGUUAAAUGUCAGUGUUUAUCCAAAAUAAGUAAAAGCACCCUAUCUAUUUAGAAAAACCCUUCCCCCCCCCCCCCACUGGACCGGUACCCUAUUUAAUUUUUUUGGGGUGCUUUUUUAAAACUUGUGGAGUGUUUUGAAGUAUUACUAUGGAUGUUUUAACAAACUUUGUCUUUCCAAAACAAACCCAAAAAAUCCUUGCCAAACACAUCCUAUAACCUAGGAAUUAAUUUUAAAAAAUUAAAUGAUUAACUUUUUAUACAUUGAUAGUGUAGUGGUUUUCUUACACUUGUAAUUAUGGAUAUAUGUCACAUGUGUAUAAUUAAAUUUUAAAUUUAAAUUCAUAUUAUGUGACAUGAUUUAAAUCUAUUAGCGUGCAAAAAAAUGUACAUUGACAAUGUAUAAAAAACUUAUUCAAAAUUAAUGAUCAAUUUAAUUCAAAAAGUUAAGUUUGAAAUGUGUUUUAGCAUGAAGACGGUGACUUGUAUUUGUAGAGACUUUAAGGGCCUUGGGAGAUUAAAAGAUGCUAGCGUCAGGAAACUGUCGACAAUGUUUGGAUUCUCUUUAGUAGAAGAUCCAACGGGCGCUCAUGAAGCUCGCUUGGAUUGGGCUUUAGACACGAAACGGGAAUGUCUGUCUAUGGCCUAUGGUCUAGAUCAACCUAAGUCAAAUGAAAUGUUGGAUAUCCACCUUAUCAAUAUCUCAAAUCCAUGAGAGUGUGCAUUUUGUGUCUAACCUAAAUGGGCACGCCAAUCGAACUGAACCAUUAUGGGAUGGUCCUUGUUGGCACCCACAAAUGGGCCACCAGAAACAUCGAGAGCAAGUAUCUGUUAUGCGGUAUCAUCAACCCCCUUUCAUCCUUUUCUGUUCCCAUUGUGAGGUGAAAGUUAGGCCAAUCUGGAAUCGCUGAUCACAAGCGAGUAAGUGGACGUCACUUCUUUUCUGAAAUCGACAAAUUUAAUAUCUAAGCUAACCUCGCAGGAGAACCCCAAAGACGCUAACUUUUGAAGCCUCCUAUAAAACUUAAAUCCUAAACCCACCGACCCCAACAGAUCGAUAUGGGACGCAGGACGGGAAAACAGGGAGGUUGCUACUGAGCCUGCUAAUGGAACCCACUCUACUCUGACAGUUUUCUUUCUAUUAAAAUCGGCAAAUUUAAUAUCUAAACUAAUCCCACAGGAGAACCCCAAAAGGCAUUAACUUUUGGAGCCUCCUAUGAAACUUAAAUCCUAAACCCACCGAUCCCAACAAAUCGAUGUGGGACGCAGGACGGAGAAAUAGGGAGGUUGCUACUAAGCCCGCUAAUGGAACCCACCCUAGUUGGACAGUUUUCUUUCCAUUAAAAUCGGCAAACUUAACAUCUAAGCUAAUUACACAGGAGAACCCCAAAAGACGCUAACUUUUGAAGCCUCCUAUGGAACUUAAAUUCUAAACCCACAGACCCCAACAGAUCGAUGUGGGAUACGGGACAGGGAAACAGGGAGGUUGCUACUAAGCCCGCUAAUGGAACCCACCCUACUCUGAUUUUUAACCCUCGCUAAUGGACAUCACUUCUCUUGAUCAUCUUUCCAAAGGGGACUUUAGUGAAUCGGUUUGUCUGGCGGGUGCCCUGUAGGACACUCGUUAAUAUAUAUAUAUAUAUAUAUAUAUAUAUAUAUAUAUAUAUAUAUUCAGGUGUUAUAUUUUUAAAAAUAUAAAAUUAAUUAGAAAAAGUAAAUAAAUAUAAGAGAGUAUAAGUAAAAUUAAAUAGGAAAAGUAUAUAAAUGCAAAAGAGAAUAAUAAUUAUUAGUAUGUGUAUAUAUAUAGUAGAUUAGAUGAAUAUUAAGUGUGUAGAAAAACUUUUUUCUCACUUAUCAUCUAGAAGAUUUAAGUUAUUUUUACACGUAAAUAGUUUUAGAUAACAAUUAGAGAAUCACAUUACCGGUGGAAAAAAAAAAGAAUGUCAAAUGCAAUUCGUGUUCAGUUCUCCAACUGCUUCACGGAAUUAACUAAAAUUUGCAGCCGGAAUUUGAUUGAUUGGCCAGGUAACUUAUCGACUUCAGAGCCGGCAAAUGUGUUAGUUGAUUUCAAAUAUUAGUACUUACAAAUGCGAGAGACAUUCUACGUAGAUUGACAACAUUAUUGACAUCUAGUGUUUCUUCUUGAUAGGAAAGGAACAAACAUGAAAAGGAAAGAAAGAAACAGCCCAUUGGAUAAUAAAAGUCUCCGCAGCAUCACAUGCCUGGGGACCCGUAACAACUCAGAUCUCCCACAGAAUUUGUGGCCUUGUAUUGUUGAUAACUGCGCUCAGAUCUCCCACUGUCUCACCCUUGGCUGAUGAGUCUGAAACACAUGUUCACUACAUCUUUAGUAUAUCCAAGAAAAUUUAGUCACAUAUAUUUCUCUGUGGCUGUGUCAGAUUUUGUUUUUUUCUAGCUAGAUUUCUAUUGGUUUGAUUAUUCAAGUGCUUUGCUGUUUGCUCCUGGAGAUUCCAUACGGGAAGAAGUUAAAAAGGGAGGGGAAGAAGGCAAUAAAAGAAACAAGAAAAGAAACAAGAAAAGAAAACCUUUAUCCUCACUAUUUCCAACUUUUGGGAUCAGCAAUUAUAGAGGUUAGACUGUUUCGGAAUUGACAGAGAAGGGUCAUUAGCCUUCUGCAACUCAUCUUAAGUUUUAUCUCCACAGGUGAGGGACCAGCUAAAAGAGCCACAGCUGCUUUUCUCCCGAAUGCCCCCACUCUCUGGUAUCGUUCCUGCUAAAAUCCACGAAAUUUGGGAGUUCGAAUCUUCUAACCAGAGUUCAUGCCUUCAUGGUCAGUGACAUCUAAAUUCGCACUCAUAAUGGUGAUAACUAAUUUCGAAAUGACCUUGAGGUUCGAUUUCAGCGCAGACACAUUGGCAUGCCUCCGCAACUAUGAACACAAUGUGAUCAAGAUGCAGAAUAACGUAACAUCCCUUUAAAAAUAAUAAUAAAAAUAAAAGUUUAACAGCCCUUCUGCAUAAAGAAAGAGUGAAGCUUUUAACUGUGAUCUUUGUACAAGAUGUUUUAGUCUGAUUUGAAAACCAACAGAAGACUGAUAUGGCUGUUGGCUUGAACUCAGCAUUGAUGAAGAUCCAAGGAUUUUGCUGAUUUUAGGGUCGAUCUUUGUCCCGAUGGUUUGCUACAUCAGGAAUUUUUCUUAUUUCCUGCUGCUUUAUUGUUUUGUAUGUACCGAUACACAAUUUACACUCACUUGCAAGUGACAGGCAUAAACAUCAUAGAAGGAACUCUUUGUACCGUUACAAGAAAGGUUGACUAAAAAGUGGGAAGCUGAAACUUUUGCUGAUAGCUCCUCUGCAAGAGUUCUAUCUGCUCUUCCUCUUGACUUUAACAACAUCUUCAACCGAUUCCUGCACUACAGUCAGAUGACCGAAUAUAUUGCAACAUUUUCUGCACUUAUAGAAGUGGGUAAGAUUCUCUCCAGCAGUUGCUAUAAGUUAAGGUGUAAA